AAACCUGGCGUAGGGGAUACAGUGAUCAUGCGGGCGGUUCCCCCAGGGCGAGGCUGCUCCAUUGCACUGCGGAGUGGUUGACCCUUGCGAUUAUUUUUAUUUUUAUCAAUAAAAGUCAUAAUAAAAAAAAUGUGGUGUCGUGGGACACCAG
rnacentral:snRNA from 9 species